rnacentral:tRNA from 6 species
GGUGAGAUGGCUGAGUGGUCUAAAGCACCACGUUGGAAACGUGGCGUAGGGGAAACUCUACCGUGAGUUCGAAUCUCACUCUCACCGCCU